GAUGAACGCUGGCGGCGUGCUUAACACAUGCAAGUCGAACGGUGAAGGCGGAGCUUGCUCUGCUGGAUCAGUGGCGAACGGGUGAGUAACACGUGAGCAAUCUGCCCCUGACUCUGGGAUAAGCGCUGGAAACGGCGUCUAAUACUGGAUACGAGCUGCGCAGGCAUCUUCAGCAGCUGGAAAUAAUUUCGGUCAGGGAUGAGCUCGCGGCCUAUCAGCUUGUUGGUGAGGUAAUGGCUCACCAAGGCGUCGACGGGUAGCCGGCCUGAGAGGGUGACCGGCCACACUGGGACUGAGACACGGCCCAGACUCCUACGGGAGGCAGCAGUGGGGAAUAUUGCACAAUGGGCGAAAGCCUGAUGCAGCAACGCCGCGUGAGGGACGACGGCCUUCGGGUUGUAAACCUCUUUUAGCAGGGAAGAAGCGAAAGUGACGGUACCUGCAGAAAAAGCGCCGGCUAACUACGUG
rnacentral:rRNA from 1 species